CCUACGGGUGGCUGCAGUAAGGAAUAUUGGUCAAUGGACGAAAGUCUGAACCAGCCAUCCCGCGUGCAGGAUGAAAGCCCUCUGGGUUGUAAACUGCUUUUAGCAGAGAAGAAAAGCUUUCAUUAAUGAGAGUCUGACGGUAUCUGCAGAAUAAGCACCGGCUAACUCCGUGCCAGCAGCCGCGGUAAUACGGAGGGUGCGAGCGUUAUCCGGAUUUACUGGGUUGAAGGCGUGCGUAGACGUCAGAUGUGAAAGCUUGUCGCUUAACGAUGAAAUUGCCAAUGAUACUGGUACUCUUGAAUUGGGUUGAGGUUAGCGGAAUGUGACAUGUAGCGGUGAAAUGCAUAGAUAUGUCAUGGAACACCAAUUGCGAAGGCAGCUAACUGGGCCUUGAUUGACGCUGAGGCACGAAAGCGUGGGUAGCGAACAGGAUUAGAUACCCUAGUAGUC
rnacentral:rRNA from 1 species